AGGAUUAUAGUUUAUAAAAAACAUUUGAUUUGCAUUCAAAAAAUAUUAUUAUUUAUAAUUUAUCUUA
rnacentral:tRNA from 1 species